rnacentral:rRNA from 1 species
GGCUCAGGAUGAACGCUAGCUACAGGCUUAACACAUGCAAGUCGAGGGGAAACGAUAGAGAAAGCUUGCUUUUUCUAGGCGUCGACCGGCGCACGGGUGAGUAACGCGUAUCCAACCUGCCCAUCACUUGGGGAUAACCUUGCGAAAGUAAGACUAAUACCCAAUGACGUCUCUAGAAGACAUCUGAAAGAGAUUAAAGAUUUAUCGGUGAUGGAUGGGGAUGCGUCUGAUUAGCUUGUUGGCGGGGUAACGGCCCACCAAGGCGACGAUCAGUAGGGGUUCUGAGAGGAAGGUCCCCCACAUUGGAACUGAGACACGGUCCAAACUCCUACGGGAGGCAGCAGUGAGGAAUAUUGGUCAAUGGGCGAGAGCCUGAACCAGCCAAGUAGCGUGCAGGAAGACGGCCCUAUGGGUUGUAAACUGCUUUUAUAAGGGAAUAAAGUGAGUCUCGUGAGACUUUUUGCAUGUACCUUAUGAAUAAGGACCGGCUAAUUCCGUGCCAGCAGCCGCGGUAAUACGGAAGGUCCGGGCGUUAUCCGGAUUUAUUGGGUUUAAAGGGAGCGUAGGCCGGAGAUUAAGCGUGUUGUGAAAUGUAGACGCUCAACGUCUGCACUGCAGCGCGAACUGGUUUCCUUGAGUACGCACAAAGUGGGCGGAAUUCGUGGUGUAGCGGUGAAAUGCUUAGAUAUCACGAAGAACUCCGAUUGCGAAGGCAGCUCACUGGAGCGCAACUGACGCUGAAGCUCGAAAGUGCGGGUAUCGAACAGGAUUAGAUACCCUGGUAGUCCGCACGGUAAACGAUGGAUGCCCGCUGUUGGUCUGAAUAGGUCAGCGGCCAAGCGAAAGCAUUAAGCAUCCCACCUGGGGAGUACGCCGGCAACGGUGAAACUCAAAGGAAUUGACGG